UUCGCAAUGCCCGAAAGGGUGACGAAGCGACGCCGCGUGUGGGAAGAAGGCCUUCGGGUUGUAAACCACUGUCGGGAGUUAGGAAAUGUAAGGGUGCUAAUAGUAUCCUUACUUGACUAAGGCUCCGGAGGAAGCCACGGCUAACUCUGUGCCAGCAGCCGCGGUAAUACAGAGGCGGCAAGCGUUGUUCGGAAUUAUUGGGCGUAAAGAGCACGUAGGCGGCCUUGUAAGUCAGUUGUGAAAGCCUUCUGCUUAACGGAAGAACAGCAGCUGAUACUGCAAGGCUAGAGUGCGGAAGGGGAGAGUGGAACUUCUGGUGGAGCGGUGAAAUGCGUAGAUAUCAGAAGGAACACCGGCGGCGAGGGCGACUCUCUGGUCCGUAACUGACGCUGAGUGUGCGAAAGCUAGGGGAGCAAACGGGAUUAGAUACCCCGGUAGUCCUAGCCGUAAAC
rnacentral:rRNA from 1 species